rnacentral:lncRNA from 1 species
UGCUUGUUUAUGGAUGUACAUUUCCCAAUUUGUGUGUUUAUUACUUAUUUUACAGCAAGAAGUCAUCAAACAGCAAUUAUUACAGCAGCCCGUACCCUGCUGAGGAGUUCCGGGCCACGUGGCCCUCUCAGAACGUAACCCAUAUUCCUCGUGCCACUCUGGCAUCUAGUUCCAGCAUUGAUGCCACUGGCAACAGUCUAGAGAUGGCUGAAGGGCCAGGCAGGAAAGGCCACAGUAAUGGAUUGAAGAUUGGAGGAAAGUCGGGCUCGUAUGACCUCAGAACAGAUGGCAUGAGGACCUUUAAGGACAUAAACCCCACACGGUACUCUUAUCUGAUGGGUCAUGAAAACCCCUACUUCACACAAGGAAAUGAGAAGAGAUGAGGAAAACAGCAGAGAAAUCCAGUGAGAAGUAAGAGGACAAGAAAAGAGUGCAAUAACAACAUGAAUUAUAAAAAGGCCUUGGAUCAAAAUGUUUCAGGAACGUUAACACUGUCAAAACCAAACAGCUGAUCACAGACUCAAAGAAUAUACACAAACGGAAUUUGAGAGAUAAUUAUAUAUAUAUAUAUAUAUAUAUGUGUGUGUGUGUGUGUGUAUUUUACAGUUUUUAUUCCAAAUCUCUUUCACCCAGGAUAAAAUGCUCACUUCCUAAAAGUGCAUUGAUGAUUGGGUUCUUCCACCACAAGCUUGAUAAACAUGUCCUGUGUAUGACAAUGUGUUCUGUGUAUGACAAUGUUAGAUGAACACUCAACCACUCAUCUGUUGAUACAGUAUCUGUAUUUAUUAGUUUAUUUGUUUGUUUGUUUGUUUUGUCACUUCUUAUGUUUUGUCUGCACAUUUUAUAUUCAGAGUUUUUUUAUAUGACAGAGAUCAUGCAUAU